CCUACGGGAGGCUGCAGUGGGGAAUAUUGGGCAAUGGGCGCAAGCCUGACCCAGCAACGCCGCGUGAAGGAAGAAGGCCCUCGGGUUUUAAGCUUCUUUUAUUCGGGACGAAACAAAUGACGGUACCGAAGGAAUAAGCUACGGCUAACUACGUGCCAGCAGCCGCGGUAAUACGUAGGUGGCAAGCGUUAUCCGGAUUUACUGGGUUUAAAGGGCGUGUUGGCGGGAGAGCAAGUCAGACGUGAAAUUCCAGGGCUCAACCCUGGAACUGCGUUUGAAACUGUUCUUCUUGAGUGAGGGAGAGGCAGGCGGAAUGCCGUGUGUAGCGGUGAAAUGCGUAGAUAUACGGAGGAACACCAGUGGCGAAGGCGGCCUGCUGGACAUUAACUGACGCUGAGGCGCGAAAGCGUGGGGAGCAAACAGGAUUAGAUACCCGAGUAGUC
rnacentral:rRNA from 1 species